rnacentral:rRNA from 1 species
CUACGGGGGGUGCAAGCGUUAUUCGGAUUUAUUGGGCGUAAAGAGCGCGUAGGCGGCUUGGUAAGUCAGAUGUGAAAGCCCGGGGCUCAACCCCGGAAGUGCAUUUGAAACUAUCAGGCUUGAGUAUGGGAGAGGGAAGUGGAAUUCCUGGUGUAGAGGUGAAAUUCGUAGAUAUCAGGAGGAACACCGGUGGCGAAGGCGACUUCCUGGACCAAUACUGACGCUGAGGCGCGAAGGCGUGGGGAGCAAACAGGAUUAGAAACCCCAGUAGUCC